rnacentral:rRNA from 1 species
CUGACGAGUGGCGGACGGGUGAGUAAUGCUUGGGAAUCUGGCUUAUGGAGGGGGAUAACGACGGGAAACUGUCGCUAAUACCGCGUAUUAUCGAAAGAUUAAAGUGUGGGACUUUGAGGCCGCAUGCCAUAGGAUGAGCCCAAGUGGGAUUAGGUAGUUGGUGGGGUAAAAGCCUACCAAGCCUGCGAUCUCUAGCUGGUCUGAGAGGAUGACCAGCCACACUGGAACUGAGACACGGUCCAGACUCCUACGGGAGGCAGCAGUGGGGAAUAUUGCGCAAUGGGGGGAACCCUGACGCAGCCAUGCCGCGUGAAUGAAGAAGGCCUUAGGGUUGUAAAGUUCUUUCGGUAUUGAGGAAGGUUGAUGUGUUAAUAGCACAUCAAAUUGACGUUAAAUACAGAAGAAGCACCGGCUAACUCCGUGCCAGCAGCCGCGGUAAUACGGAGGGUGCGAGCGUUAAUCGGAAUAACUGGGCGUAAAGGGCACGCAGGCGGUUAUUUAAGUGAGGUGUGAAAGCCCCGGGCUUAACCUGGGAAUUGCAUUUCAGACUGGGUAACUAGAGUACUUUAGGGAGGGGUAGAAUUCCACGUGUAGCGGU